CACACACACACACACACAGAGAGAGAGAGAGAGAGAGAGAGAGAGAGAGAGAUUGUUCCAGCUGCUCUCGCUAGAGAAAGGGAGUGACCCAAGGGGCCGCGAGUGAAGGGACAGGAUGGCUUAGGUACCUCUGCCCACAGGACCCCACAACAGGGAGAGGUUCCAGCUACAGCUCCUCCGUGGGGUCAUGGCAGGGGCUGGGGAGUCCCCUCAAAAGCCCUGAGCCCCCCUGCACCGCCGCUAAGGGACACCCCAGAAGUUAGCAUCAGUGGGACUCGGAAGCUCCGAUCUCAACAAACCAGGAACUCCUUGCGGACAGAGAACGCAUCAAGGGUCGUCAAUCUCAUUACCUGUUGGAGUCACCUG
rnacentral:lncRNA from 1 species